rnacentral:rRNA from 1 species
CUUAAGUUGAUCUGGCUCAGGAUAACGCGAGCGGCGUGCCUAAUACAUGCAAGUCGAGCGGUAAGGCUUAGCACUUAUUAUUUGACCUCAGAAGGUCGAGUAAUGGGUGCUGAGUACACGAGCGGCGGACGGCUGAGUAACGCGUAGGAACGUACCCCAAAGUGAGGGAUAAGCACCAGAAAUGGUGUCUAAUACCGCAUGUGGUCUAAGGAUUAAAGCUUCGGCGCUUUGGGAACGGCCUGCGUAUGAUUAGUUUGUUGGUGAGGUAAUGGCUCACCAAGGCUACGAUCAUUAGCUGGUCUGAGAGGAUGAUCAGCCAGACUGGGACUGAGAACGGCCCAGACUCCUACGGGAGGCAGCAGUAGGGAAUUUUCCACAAUGGGGGCAACCCUGAUGGAGCAACGCCGCGUGCAGGAUGAAUGCCUUCGGGUUGUAAACUGCUUUUAUCUGUGACGAUUAUGACGGUAACAGAUGAAUAAGGAUCGGCUAAUUCCGUGCCAGCAGCCGCGGUCAUACGGAAGAUCCAAGCGUUAUCCGGAAUUACUGGGCGUAAAGAGUUGCGUAGGUGGCAUAGUAAGCAGAUAGUGAAAUUGUGUGGCUCAACCAUACACCCAUUAUCUGAACUGCUAAGCUAGAGGGCGAGAGAGGUAGCUGGAAUUCCUAGUGUAGGAGUGAAAUCCGUAGAUAUUAGGAGGAACACCGAUGGCGUAGGCAGGCUACUGGCUCGUCCCUGACACUAAGGCACGAAAGCGUGGGGAGCGACCGGGAUUAGAUACCCCGUUAGACCACGCCGUAAACGAUGGAUGCUAGCUGUUAUGCGUAUCGACCCGCGUAGUAGCGAAGCUAACGCGUUAAGCAUCCCGCCUGUGGAGUACGAGCGCAAGCUUAAAACAUAAAGGAAUUGACGGGGACCCGCACAAGCGGUGGAGCGUGUUCUUUAAUUCGAUGGUAAGCGAAGAACCUUACCCAGGUUUGACAUCCUACUAAUUUCUCCGAAAGGAGAGAGUGCAUUCGGGCCGUAGUGACAGGUGAUGCAUGGCCGUCUUCAGCUCGUGUCGUGAGAUGUUUGGUUAAGUCCAUCAACGAGCGCAACCCUUAUACUUAGUUGGAUUUUUCUAAGUAGACUGCCCCGGUAACGGGGAGGAAGGAGGGGAUGAUGUCAGGUCAGUAUUUCCCUUACAUCUGGGGCUAGAAACACGCUACAAUGGCCGGUACAAAGGGCAGCCAAGUCGCGAGACGGAGCAAAUCCCAUCAAAGCCGGUCUCAGUUCGGAUAGCAGGCUGAAACUCGCCUGCUUGAAGCCGGAAUCGCUAGUAACGGUAGGUCAGCACAC